rnacentral:rRNA from 1 species
UACGUAGGGUGCAAGCGUUGUCCGGAAUUAUUGGGCGUAAAGAGCUCGUAGGCGGUUUGUCGCGUCUGCUGUGAAAACUCGGGGCUUAACUCCGGGCCUGCAGUGGGUACGGGCAGACUAGAGUGCGGUAGGGGAGACUGGAAUUCCUGGUGUAGCGGUGAAAUGCGCAGAUAUCAGGAGGAACACCGGUGGCGAAGGCGGUUCUCUGGGAAUAUCCUGACGCUGAGGAGCGAAAGUGUGGGGAGCGAACAGG